rnacentral:rRNA from 1 species
UACGUAGGGGGCGAGCGUUGUCCGGAUUUAUUGGGCGUAAAGAGCUCGUAGGCGGUUUGGUAAGUCGGGUGUGAAAUCUCCACGCUCAACGUGGAGGGGCCACUCGAUACUGCCAUGACUCGAGUCCGGUAGAGGAGUGUGGAAUUCCCGGUGUAGCGGUGAAAUGCGCAGAUAUCGGGAAGAACAUCGGUGGCGAAGGCGGCCAGCUGGGCCGUUGCUGACGCUGAGGCGCGACAGCGUGGGGAGCAAACAGG